rnacentral:rRNA from 1 species
UCCUACGGGAGGCAGCAGUGGGGAAUAUUGGACAAUGGGCGCAAGCCUGAUCCAGCCAUGCCGCGUGUGUGAAGAAGGCCUUUUGGUUGUAAAGCACUUUAAGCGAGGAGGAGGCUACUUGGAUUAAUACUCUAGGAUAGUGGACGUUACUCGCAGAAUAAGCACCGGCUAACUCUGUGCCAGCAGCCGCGGUAAUACAGAGGGUGCGAGCGUUAAUCGGAUUUACUGGGCGUAAAGCGUGCGUAGGCGGCUUCUUAUGUCGGAUGUGAAAUCCCUGAGCUUAACUUAGGAAUUGCAUUCGAUACUGGGAAGCUAGAGUAUGGGAGAGGAUGGUAGAAUUCCAGGUGUAGCGGUGAAAUGCGUAGAGAUCUGGAGGAAUACCGAUGGCGAAGGCAGCCAUCUGGCCUAAUACUGACGCUGAGGUACGAAAGCAUGGGGAGCAAACAGGAUUAGAUACCCUGGUAGUCCAUGCCGUAAACGAUGUCUACUAGCCGUUGGGGCCUUUGAGGCUUUAGUGGCGCAGCUAACGCGAUAAGUAGACCGCCUGGGGAGUACGGUCGCAAGACUAAAACUCAAAUGAAUUGACGGCA